rnacentral:tRNA from 1 species
UGGGGGGUAGGCUAACUGGGAAGCCAGCGGGCUUUGAACCCGUGUUGAUCCAGGUUCGAAUCCUGGCCCCCCAGCCA